rnacentral:sRNA from 1 species
GCCAGGUGUGGUGGUGCAUGCCUGUAAUCCUAGCGGCUCAGGAGGCUGAGAUAGGAGGAUUGUGAGUUCAAAGGAAGCCUCAGCAACUUAGAGCCUAACCAACUCAUUGAUACCCUGUCUCUA